rnacentral:rRNA from 1 species
AUACGUAGGGGGCGAGCGUUGUCCGGAAUGAUUGGGCGUAAAGGGCGCGUAGGCGGCGCGGUAAGUCUGGAGUGAAAGUCCUGCUUUCAAGGUGGGAAUUGCUUUGGAUACUGCCGCGCUUGAGUGCAGGAGAGGCUAUCGGAAUUCCCGGUGUAGCGGUGAAAUGCGUAGAGAUCGGGAGGAACACCAGUGGCGAAGGCGGGUAACUGGACUGCAACUGACGCUGAGGCGCGAAAGUGUGGGGAGCAAACAGGAUUAGAUACCCUGGUAGUCCACACUGUAAACGAUGAAUGCUAGGUGUAAGAGGUAUCGACCCCUUUUGUGCCGGAGUCAACACAAUAAGCAUUCCGCCUGGGGAGUACGGCCGCAAGGUUGAAACUCAAAUGAAUUGACGGGG